rnacentral:misc_RNA from 1 species
UUAGCAGUGUAGAUAAAAGUUAUUAUUCAUCCUUAACAUAAAAGACACCAACACAUAGUUAUAUUACAGAAAGCCACAAGUUACAAUAUUUCUAUUAACUAGUGCUACUAUAGUACUAAUACUAGUGAACCAUCCGUGCAUGCUUUGAGAGUGACUGGGUCGUCAUCUCUUAUUUCUAGCAGAUAAACUUACUGUAACAUGGAUGGAAAUUGGUGGUGGACGCUUAGUCGGAUGAUGGAGGUUUGUGUGGUGGCUUCUUCGGUGGUGGCUUCUGCACCGGUGGCUUCUUCACCGGUGGCUUGUAGUUUCCGUCUUCCGCAUCAACUACAGGAGGGUGUCCUGGCUUGUGAGGUGGCUUCCCUCCCUUACCUUUGGGAGGCUUGUAUGCAUCAAGGAAUGCCUUCUCCGUAUCAACCGAGGAGUGUUCCUCUGCUGGAGGACGCUUGUAAAUUGGAGGCUUGUGACCUGAUCCUGGCGGUUUGUAUUGAGCAAGAGAGUGAGUGGUGAGGAGCACCACCACAACAAACAACACCAGCAAGUAUUUGGCAGACAUGCUAAUAUUGG